AGAAAGGUCUGCGUGCUUCCUGCAAAAGUAACAGACAAAAAGAGCCGGGGCAGAAACAGGUAAGGGAAAACCAGACCCCUGCCCAGGCCACCUCCCACACAGGCUGCUGUGGCUCAGGACCCCUCCUUGAAGGUUGCUUCUCUACAUCUGUGAACACCUGUGGGCGUGCCCCAGGUCCCUCUGGAAGCAGAUCAGGAGUGGAUGCAUUUAGUUCAGCGCUUGCUCCUCCGCCCCCGUCCAGGGCGCUGCUGCUGCUGCUUCAGUCCGCCUCUGGGUCAGCUGACUCACUCUUGCAAGCCUCUGCUGUUUUGCUCCAGAGCUCGGCUUCUAACAAGUCAGUACCUGUUCCUGGACCCUUUUCAAGAUUGAACUUUGGAUGGAUUUGGUUUUUUCACUUCAGGGCCAAGUUUGCAGUUCCUAUGUUGAGGAGGCUCCUUUUCCUGCUGUUAUUUCACCCGUGACGCCUAGGACCUGAAGGUGCAUCUCCUAUUUACCCGUUCCCCCUGGAUUUCUUAGUGUUUCUUUCUCUUGCAGUUGGACUCUAAUUCAUCUGGAAUGACUUUGAGGAAUGGUAUCAGAUGUGAGUGGAACUUGACUUUUCCCAAGUGGCCGAUAUUAUUUCCAUUAUAGUUAUGGAUUGGAAUUCCCUCCCCAAUCGAUUCGGGACGCUCUUUUUACACGUGAUCUUCUGCAUUGCCCAGGUGUGGCACAGGAACUCCCGGGGGCAGCUCUGGGAUAAGGCAUUCUUAAUUUGAGGGACAAGCUUCUGGGUUCCAGAGGUAGGUUCUCUUGUUGCUGCUCAUCUGAAAUAUUUUUUAAAACGUUGUUCAGAAAAUGCCAGAACUAAACCCAACUCCUGUUCUUUCUUUU